rnacentral:lncRNA from 1 species
UAAAAGUGGGGUGGGUCUGAGGGAGAUGCUUUAGGCUGUUCUGUGUAGCUUUGAGGAAAGACACUCUGUUAUGUGCUUAAUUGUUCUUAAACUGCAGUAUUUCAGGCCUCAACCCUUACUUCCCAGACUGGUACGACAAUGAAUAGCUUCACUAUUGAGCAGAGCGCUCCCUCACAAACAAACAAGCAGAACCAAAAUAGCGUCUGCAUUGAUCUUGAACGGAACAUGAAUCAGAGAGAGAGAACAGGGUCUCACAGAGUAGCAAGGGAGCCAUUUGCAUCUGAUUACAAGCUGUAAAUCUGGAGGAUGAUUCCAUGCUGGCUGGACAAUCUACACAAACCCAAAAGAGAGGGAGACAAACACAACAACACCACAACAGAUUGAGACUUCAUAUGACAGCUGAGGUAUAAAAAGGAGAGAAAUGACCAAAUCACCUCAAACACAUUUUCUACAAAGAAAUGAACAAAAACAGAAAACAACUAGAGUGGGAGAGUGUUUGUGACACUCUGAGGGGAAGAGAGGAUUAAGGAAGUGACAGAGUAGGCAGGAGAGACAGACAAAGACAGAACGUGCAUGGGACACACACACCCAGAGAACCCCC